rnacentral:rRNA from 1 species
UUAGAGUUUGAUCCUGGCUCAGGAUGAACGCUAGCGGCAGGCUUAACACAUGCAAGUCGAGGGGCAGCGAGAUCAGUGCUUGCACUGAUUGUCGGCGACCGGCGCACGGGUGCGUAACGCGUAUGCAACCUACCCAUUACAGGGGGAUAACACUGAGAAAUCGGUACUAAUACCCCAUAACAUCCAGGGAGGCAUCUUCUUGGGUUGAAAACUCCGGUGGUAAUGGAUGGGCAUGCGUUGUAUUAGUUAGUUGGUGGGGUAACGGCUCACCAAGACAACGAUACAUAGGGGGACUGAGAGGUUAACCCCCCACAUUGGUACUGAGACACGGACCAAACUCCUACGGGAGGCAGCAGUGAGGAAUAUUGGUCAAUGGACGCAAGUCUGAACCAGCCAUGCCGCGUGCAGGAAGACGGCUCUAUGAGUUGUAAACUGCUUUUGUACGAGGGUAAACGCAGAUACGCGUAUCUGUCUGAAAGUAUCGUACGAAUAAGGAUCGGCUAACUCCGUGCCAGCAGCCGCGGUAAUACGGAGGAUUCAAGCGUUAUCCGGAUUUAUUGGGUUUAAAGGGUGCGUAGGCGGUCGGAUAAGUUAGAGGUGAAACCCCGGGGCUCAACUUCGGAAUUGCCUCUGAUACUGUUCGGCUAGAGAGUAGUUGCGGUAGGCGGAAUGUAUGGUGUAGCGGUGAAAUGCUUAGAGAUCAUACAGAACACCGAUUGCGAAGGCAGCUUACCAAGCUACUUCUGACGUUGAGGCACGAAAGCGUGGGGAGCAAACAGGAUUAGAUACCCUGGUAGUCCACGCAGUAAACGAUGAUAACUCGUUGUCGGCGAUACAGUGUCGGUGACUAAGCGAAAGCGAUAAGUUAUCCACCUGGGGAGUACGUUCGCAAGAAUGAAACUCAAAGGAAUUGACGGGGGCACGCACAAGCGGAGGAACAUGUGGUUUAAUUCGAUGAUACGCGAGGAACCUUACCCGGGCUUGAAAGUUAGUGACGGAUCUUGAAAGAGGUCUUCCCUUCGGGGCACGAAACUAGGUGCUGCAUGGUUGUCGUCAGCUCGUGCCGUGAGGUGUCGGGUUAAGUCCCAUAACGAGCGCAACCCCUACCGUUAGUUGCCAGCAGGUCAAGCUGGGCACUCUGACGGGACUGCCGGUGUAAGCCGAGAGGAAGGUGGGGAUGACGUCAAAUCAGCACGGCCCUUACGUCCGGGGCUACACACGUGUUACAAUGGCAGGUACAGAGGGCAGCUACCCAGCGAUGGGAUGCGAAUCUCGAAAGCCUGUCUCAGUUCGGAUUGGAGGCUGAAACCCGCCUCCAUGAAGUUGGAUUCGCUAGUAAUCGCGCAUCAGCCAUGGCGCGGUGAAAACGUUCCCGGGCCUUGCACUCACCGCCCGUCAAG